CUCUCGCUGCGCUCGUGAAAUUCCGCGGACUUGAUUCCUCCAAGUGGAGCGAGAGUAUAUAGGUAUUGAUCGAAAGUCGAUGGUUGCCGGGGUGUAUCUCGAGGAUCGAUGUGUUUUUAUUUAUUUAUUUUUUUUUUUUUCAAAAGAGGUCGCGCUGUGAAAUUGCCAACGUUUCCGGAAAUUCAGGCGCGAUUUUGACAUCGCCUAAUUACCAACAACAAUUAAAGUAGGUUAAUUCCAUCGCAUCGAGUUUCCCGCGGCGCACGAGUCUGAAUAUCAGCGAGCAGUCGCUCAUUUGCAGAUACAUUAACAACGGGAUAUGCGCGUGUACGUGUGGUACUCGAGGGCUGUAGCUCUGUGUUUAUGUUAUGAAGUGGGCGCGUGGAUAGCGACGAGGAAAAUGGAAAAGCGGUCGUGCGCCACCUAUCUUCGUUGGCCGAAGAGAGCCGAAGAGUUCAAGGGGUUGGAGAAGAGCCUGCGUUCAAAUAAACUCACUUUGCUUGACUA